rnacentral:rRNA from 1 species
UACGGAGGGGGCUAGCGUUGUUCGGAAUUACUGGGCGUAAAGCGCACGUAGGCGGCUUUGUAAGUCAGGGGUGAAAGCCCGGAGCUCAACUCCGGAAUUGCCUUUGAGACUGCAUCGCUUGAAUCACGGAGAGGUGGGUGGAAUUCCGAGUGUAGAGGUGAAAUUCGUAGAUAUUCGCAAGAACACCAGUGGCGAAGGCGGCUCACUGGCCCGGUACUGACGCUGAGGUGCGAAAGCGUGGGGAGCAAACAGG